CCUACGGGAGGCAGCAGUGAGGAAUAUUGGUCAAUGGGAGGAAUCCUGAACCAGCCAUGCCGCGUGCAGGACGACGGCUCUACGAGUUGUAAACUGCUUUUGUACCGGGGUAAAAUGCUCUACGAGUAGGGUUUUGAAAGUACGGUACGAAUAAGGAUCGGCUAACUCCGUGCCAGCAGCCGCGGUAAUACGGAGGAUCCGAGCGUUAUCCGGAUUUAUUGGGUUUAAAGGGUGCGUAGGCGGGUUAUCAAGUCAGCGGUAAAAUCGUGGAGCUCAACUCCAUCCAGCCGUUGAAACUGAUGAUCGUGAGUGGGCGAGAAGUAUGCGGAAUGCGUGGUGUAGCGGUGAAAUGCAUAGAUAUCACGCAGAACUCCGAUUGCGAAGGCAGCAUACCGGCGCCCGACUGACGCUGAAGCACGAAAGCGUGGGUAUCGAACAGGAUUAGAUACCCUGGUAGUC
rnacentral:rRNA from 1 species